rnacentral:lncRNA from 1 species
UAAAGAGUAAUAUAUGAUAAAAAAAAUUGUAAUUAAUUCCAACCAAUAAGAUGGAUAAAUGGGUAAAGGUUAUUCACUAUGAGUAAAACUACACAAAAAUACUAUCAAAACUGCCACUCCUGUCAAAAUACUUCUGCCUGACCAAAAGACUACUUCUUUGGAACCAUUGCUGUAGAUAUGAUUUUUGUAAUAAGCAUUUUUGUAAUAAGAAAAUUAUGAUUUUCUUGCACAUUACCUGACAUAUUUAUGCUGCAAAUUUACUCCUUUGUCCUAAACAUAAUUCUGAGAAAGACUCACAUCUCUGCUGAAUCCUCUGCAAAGCCUUUUCCGAGCUCUUGUCUUCCUCCCAGCACAUGUUCCAUCUUCCAAUUUUACCACCUAUAUUCUAAAAGGAAACUUUCUAACUUCUAAAUUACUUUGACACUUGAGCUCUCUUUUAAUUUUUAAGUUUAUAUCAUUUUUAUAUUAAAUACAGUGCUUUCAGUAAAGAAUGGCCAUUAAUAUGUUCCUGGUUUAUUUAGAAGAAUUCUGUUAUGUUCUUGGUUUUGUUGACUGUGAAAUGAAAAAUAGGUUAAUACUGUACAGAGUAAAAGGAUUGUUUUAAAAUUCCAGGCCUUUUAAAUUAUGUUUUAUAUUAUGUCAUUGAGGUAUUUAUACCAAUAUAAAUAUAUUUGAUAGCACCAGGUGAAAACAUUCAUAAUUGGAAAAUAAUUUCCUAUGCAAUACUAAAUACAAAAUUUACUACUUUUUAAUGUUAAAAGUCCUUUGGGACAGUUCACGUUACCAAUAUUUGUUGUAUAUAUUACAUCUAGUUUUAAUGUUAAGGCUUAUAUUUGCUUCUGUUUGAAAUAGAAAGUAUGUUAAAUUUUAUUUCUUCAAAUGGUGAAUGUUAAGAUUAGAUUAGAUUUUCUAGCAGAGGUUUGCAUGAAACACUUGUGAUAUGUUAAGGCAGAUCUAUCUAAGACUGCAGUUUCUUUUUAAAAUGAUUGCUUUGGUUUUUCUAAAAUAAGUGAGGUUUUGUAUGAUAAAACUAUAUAUAUAUAUAUAUGAAAGUCAGAUGCAAAUUGAAUUUUAAAGUUGAAAUAUAGAGUCCACAGUCAUACUUUAUUUGACUCACCUAACGAUAAUAUUUUCCAAAACAAAUAUUUGACAAACAUCUGGUAAACAAUGUAUGAAAAAUCCUUUUAAACUUAAUGUUAAAGAAACAUAUCCCAUUUUCUAGAGGUGGACAAAAUAUUUGAAAACAGUUCACAAAUAAAGAUGUACAAAAUACCAGUAAGAAGGAGAAAGAAACCAGUCAUCAGAGAUAUUCAAAUUAAUAUCUUAGUAAUAUACUGUUACACAUCUAUUAGAUUUGCUAAAAUACAAAAUGUUAAAAACCUCUCAAGUGGGCAUGAUUGUGCAGCAACUGGGAAUCCCAUGUGGAAUUUCUGAGAAUAAAAAAUGGUACCAAUAUACUGGCAUUUUUUAUUUUUGUUUCUGAAAUUAAGCAUAGACACCAAAUCUGAGUCCCCAAAAUUCCACUCUGAGGUUUUACCCAAGAGAAAUGAAAACAUAGGUCACAAAAAUAGCAUUUAGUAAUAUUUUAUUCAUAAUAACUAAAAACUCUAAUUUGGAGUCUACAGAUAGGAAAAUAAAUACACUCUGGCAAAUUUACUUAUACACUGAGUAGUAUUCAGUAAAGUCCUUUAGUGCAUUACUGAUGAAUGUACCAUGAAUGAAUAACCAAACAGGAUAACUAAAGUGUAUCUUAUAUAAAAGAACAUAAACCCUGAUAUGUUUUACAUAAAAUUCUAGCACAGGAAAGUCAUCAGUUAAUACUAAAUACUGAUUGCUUCUGGAGUGAUGGGGUUGAAAUGGACUGGUAUAAAGAAUUGGGGGAUUUGGAUGCUUAUCAGUCAUGAAGAUACAAUCAUGGGACAGGGGUUUCGUAAGAAAUUAUGUUCCACUGGGUGUGGUGAUACAUGCCUCUAAUACUAGAAGCUUGGGUGAAUGAGGAAAAAGGAUCACAUUUUUGACACCAGACUCAGCAACUUAGGAAAGUUGUAAGCAACCUAAAGAAACCCUGUCUCAAAAUGUAGAUAGAUAGAGAUAGAUAGAUAGAUAGAUGAUAGAUAGAUAGAUAGAUAGAUAGAAUAAAAGAGCUGGGGAUGUGGCUUAGUGGUUAAGCAUGCCCUUGGGUUCAAUCAUUAGUACUAAAAAAUAAAUUAAUUAAUUAAAUUAAAUUAAAAUUAAAAAAAUAAUAGAAAAUAAUUUCAUAGUCUGAAAUUGUCCAGAGGAUUAUCCAAAAAGGAGAAGUUUGAGGGAACUCAUGGGGAAGAAGAGAGUCAGAGAAGUUGUCUAUUGGAAUUAUUUUUCCAGGUGAUAUAGCUAUUUGUAUGGCAGGGGUUAUAGAUAUCUGAAGGAUAAUAGCACCUUGGGAUUUCUUAACCACAUUUUCUUUUAAUUGUACAUCAGAUGCUAGGUGUCCAAAGUAGGUGAGAUGUGAGUGGUUAAAUUUUUACUGCUUGUAUUUAUAUUUUUAAUAUAAUUAGUGGUAAAUAAAUUUGUAUUUCUCAUUCAUGAACUUUUUACCCAAUGAUUUUAUGUCUGUAAUGAAUAUUUAAUCCAGGAGCAAGCACAUGGAGACCAUUCUUGCUAGUUUAAAUAAUUAAUGACAAGGAGAAAAAGAGAACUUUUGGGAUUGAUAAUAAUUACGUAUAUUUUGAUAGGAGUUUAGAGUACACAAAUAAAUAAAUCUGCCAAAUCUUGGUAAAUGUAUACUUUAGAUAUGUAUAUUUGUGGUUUCUUUAUGUAAGUUUUUAUAGCAAGUGAAGAAAAUUGAACUGUAGUUAGUGAUAGUCAUGUUGUAGUAGUUAAGGAAUAAUGAACUGUUUUUUUUUUGUUUUGUUUUUUUUUGUUUUUUUUGCAGUUCACACUAAAAUGCCAAAAAUGAAAGAAGUUAAUCAAUUGAAGACCAGAUUCUUGGAUGCCUAUAAAAUUUUAAUUUUAGAAUCUAGCUUGGGUUAUUCCAAGAUUUAUACUAAAAGACAGAGGGCAUAUGUAGUAGAGUAGGAUGCAAAGGAGUUAACCAUUCAGAUACUGAGAAGUACUGUAAAACAAAUUACCUCAGAACACAUUGUUUGAAAACCAAACAUGUCAUAAAAUUUAUUACAAAACUAAUUCAAGUUUUAUAUUUCUAAAUGUUUAUGAUGAAGUAUGAAAAAUGACUGUGUGUCAAAUUGGCCAGGUGAUCAAUUCAUGACACAAUGCUGUUGAAUUAGAAAUAUUAUAGACUUACUUUCUUACCAAUUCUAAGGUAUAAUUUUAUAAAAACUUUGUCCUAUAAUUCUUGAUGUGACUAAUCGAUAUGAGGGUUUUUUCUGUUAUGGGGGAAUUCCUUCUGCUAUGACAAUACAUGUGAAUUGUUGUCAUCAUUUCUGUGCUCCAGGAGGGCUCUACUGGAUUGCUGGAUGGGUAAAACACAAAAGAGGCCUGCAGAGGGUGAAAGGGCAUCUCUUUCUCUACAAUGAUCGUCUUAUUGUGGCCAAAAUCUAGUAAGUAUAUUGCACACUAUCUUCUAUUUAUCAUUAAAUAGAAGAGAGUAUGCAGUAAACUUACUAGAUUAUAUCUCCUAACAAAGAUAUCCUUUGUACAUAAUGCUCACAGUAAAAAUGCGUGGCCACCAUCACUAGAGUUAAUACCUAAAGUGAGCUAUAUGUUUGGUUUUAUUUUCCAAAAAAUGAUUCAAAUUUUCAUGUAAUCAACACAUUUUUAUUUAGGCGGUCUUUUUUUUUUUUUUUUGUCAUACCCUGAGUAAAUAUAGGAGAUACAGUGAAGAAUGUGAUGAUCUGGUCCCUGUUCUUUUAGGUGUUAAAUUUUAACAUGAUAUUAUAUUUUACAUGAAUGUGGCAAAAUUAGAUUAUUUGACUUUCUCUGGAGAAAAGAGGGUAACAUGUAAAAUAAAAGACAGAGGGUGUUUAGAGAUAUCCAGGGGGAAAAUUAUUAUUUGUUGCAAGCAAGUUACCACUCAGGACCCGAGAAGAAGAAUUGUAUAUCAAAUUGUCCCCAAACAUAACAUUUUAUAACUAACCAUCUCAUGUACUUUCUCUGAGUCAGAAUCUAGAAAUGUCUAGCAGGGUGGUUCUGGCUCAAAUACCAAACGAAAUUUGCAGUCAUCUCAAGAAUCAACAGAUGGGUGUAUUCUAAGCUCACAAAUAAGGGUAAUGGCAGCCUCAGCUCCUUACUGGUUAUUGGGCCAAGACUUUACUUGCUUCCAUGUGAGCCUCUGCACAGUUCUGCUCAUAACUUAGUAGGUCACCUUCUUCAAAGUGAAAGAACUUUUUGAAGCAAUGUACCACCAUUUCUGAUGUAUGCUCUCGGCCAGACAAACCAAACAUGGCACAACAUAGAAGGAUCCACAGAAGGAUAAAAUAUCAAGAAUCAGGGAUCAUUUCUGGGCCAUCUUGAAAGCUUGAAACCACAAUGGCUAUCAUAAGAAACUUGGAUUUCAUUUUACAGUGUUUUCAUUGGAAAGUGUUAUAAUUCAUAUCUUGAAACAUUUACUCAAGUUAGAUAAUAAUAUUUACUGAAGUUAUUCAAUGUUCCUCAAGUUGGAAAGUGGUCAAGAAGAAAUAUAGAGUUAUUAUUAAUACAAGGUUAUUAUCAUUGUUCCAAUAAGAGAACAAGAACUAUAUCUGGGUAUACAAUAUGUAUAGAAACAUUUGGAUAAAUAUGUAUUUGGAAUGUGUUUUAGGAAUACCUAAGAGGAUUCAUUUGUUUUCCACAAUAAAUACCAAGGCAGAUAAUAUCCAGCCUAAAGAAAAGGGUCUCUUAAUUAUCUUUUCUCCUCUUUGUUAUUGAUCAAAAAUCAAGAAACAGUAUUUUAACAAAUGCAUUUGCAUAAUGAGAAUUUAGUCAACAGAGAAUAGAAAAUGCUUUAUUUUUAUUUAUCUAUACCCUCAUGUGGUGAGCCGCUUCUGCCGUUUCUGCAGACUAUGGUCGCCAUUACAAGAUGGCGCUGGCUCCGCUGUGGUCUGUGACAAACAACUCCUUAUUUGGGAGAGUUGGCGCGUGGUUUUUCACCACCCUAUGAGAAAGCUCCACGUGGCAGCUUCGCAUUGGGGCUUGAGAUGCUUUAUUAAGGCUGGGAGGGGCAUCCGAGGGAGAGAAGAAGAAAUAUCAAGGGCCUGAAUAAACUGCUGAAAGAAGAUUCCUGAGUUGCGUCUUCCUUGCGGGCAAGGGGUCGCGACACCCUCACAUCUAAAUUAUGCCAUGGCAUUAAUAAGUCACAGGCAGGGCUACAUCCAAAUUUGGCAAAACUUUAUAAUUAACAUGAAUGGUCUUAUUACAAGUAAACUUAGGAUCUUAUGGUAUGUUAGGGAUUAAUUUAAAGAUACUAAACAUUAUUCAGGGUAUUAUUUUUCUCAUUAUAUAAACAAUUUAUAUUCAGAGAAGUUAAGUGACUUCUCCUAAAUUACCAAUUUUGUAGUCAGUUAAACCCACACUGGUAAAUAGGUCCAUUUUAUUUCAAAGUAUACUCGAUAAAUCAAUAUGGAGUUUGCUGUCUGUAUUGCUGAAUUUUUCUAAAUUUCUUAGAUGUUGUAAACAUGUAAGUUUUUUGUUUGUUUACUUGCUUUUUUUAAACUUUUACUUUGGCUUUCUUCACUGCCCUUCCCCCCUCCCCGUUUUUUUUUUUUUUUUUUUUUUUGGUACCUGGGAUUGAAUGCAGGGGUGCUUAAUCACUAAGCCAUAUUCCCAGACCAUUUUUAUAUUUUAUUUAGAGACAUGGUCUCACUAAGUUGCUUAGGGCCUUAUUAAGUUGCUCAGGCUGGUUUUGAACUAAAAGUUCUUUUGCACCCGGCCCCCAAGCUGCUGGGAUUAUAAGUAAAAGUUAAAGAUAACUACUCAUUUUCUAUAUUUAAAUUAGUUCUGUAUUUCACUGAUCCUCAUAUACAUCAAGGUGUAAUGUAUAGGUAAUGACUUUACUAUACUCUCACAUUUGUCAAGGUGUUUAUUGUAAAUAUUUUAUUGUUAUAUAAGGCAUUCAUUUUGGACAAAAUAUGUUCAAUGUUCACUACUGGUAUGAGUUUUAAAAUGUUCAAUGAAUUGAAAAUUUGAAUAAGUUUUGGAAAUAUUAUUUAACUUUUUAGGAUUUCUGGGCACAAUGAAGUCUCCAAAUAUCAGUAGUGUUUAAGAAACCUGUGGCUUUGAAACAUUUUUUUUUCCCAUUUGUAUUCUCUCUAACCAGUAUGUAUCCUCAGGUGCUGAGUAUUGGUGAAUCAUUUAUGGAGGCAUUGUCACAUUGUCAAUUUUCAAAUUUCAAAAAUUUCUCUCUGCUGUGAUGAUUGUGGAGAGGAUUAAAUGUUGACCCAUCCUUAAAGAAAUGGUACAAAGGUCUUAUUUGUAUAGCUUCUCUCCAGUGUGUUUUCUUGAAUGUCUAGUAAUGUGUGAUAUAUAAUUAAAAAUGUUUCUACAUUCUCUACAUUUGUAGUCUUCUUUGCAGAAUAAAUAGCCUGGUAGUGGUGAAAAAGUUUUGAUUUCUUAUUAAAAGCUUUGCUACAUUGUUUCCAUUUGUAGGGGUUCUUUUCUGUAUAAAUUUUGUGGUUAAUAAGGUUUGCUUUUUCUUUAAAAGCAUUAUCACUUUCUUCAUAUUUUUAAGGUUUCUCACCAGAGCAUCUUCUGUUGUGGUAAAUAAAGUUUUAUUUUUGAUUAAAAGCUUAGCCACAUUAUUUACAUUUGGAGGGCUACUCUCCAGUGUGAGUUCUUCUGUAGCAAGGAAGGCUUGUUUUUUGACUAAAGGCUUUGCCACAUUCUUUACAUUUGUAGGCCUUCUCUCUAGUGUGAGUUCUGUUGUGGCAAAUAAGGCCAGAUUUUUUAUUAAAAGCUUUGCCACACUUUUUACAUUUGUAGGGCUUCUCUCCAGUGUGACUUCUAUUGUGGCAAAUAAGGCCUGCUUUUUGGCUAAAAGCUUUUUCCACAUUCUUUACAUUUGUAGGGCUUCUCUCCAGUGUGAGUUCUCCUGUGGCGAAUAAGGCCUGUUUUUUGACUAAAAGCUUUUCCACAUUCUUUACAUUUGUAGGGCUUCUCUCCAGUGUGAGUUCUCUGGUGGUGAAUAAGGUGUGUUUUUUGAGUAAAAGCUUUGCCACAUUCAUUACAUUUGUAGGGCUUCUCUCCCGUGUGAGUUCUGCUGUGGCAAAUAAGGUGUGAUAUUUGAGUAAAAACUUUGUCACAUACUUUGCAUUUGUAGGCCUUCUCUUCAGUGUGAGUUCUUUUGUGACAAAUAAGGCUUGUUUUGUGACUAAAAGCUUUGCCACACUCUUUACAUUUGUAGGCCUUCUCUUCAGUGUGAGUUCUUUUGUGACAAAUAAGGCUGGCUUUUUGACUAAAAGCUUUUCCACAUUCUUUACAUUUGUAGGGCUUCUCUCCAGUAUGAGUUCUGUUGUGGCAAAUAAGGCCUGCUUUUUUAUUAAAAGCUUUUCCACAUUCUUUACAUUUGUAGGGCUUCUCUCCAGUGUGAGUUCUGUUGUGGCAAAUAAGGUGUGUUUUUCGACUAAAAGCUUUUCCACAUUCUUUACAUUUGUAGGGCUUCUCUCCAGUGUGAGUUCUAUUGUGGCAAAUAAGGUGUGUUUUUUGACUAAAAGCUUUUCCACAUUCUUUACAUUUGUAGGGCUUCUCUCCAGUGUGAGUUCUGUUGUGGCAAAUAAGGGUUGAUAUUUGAGUAAAAGCUUUACCACAUACUUUACAUUUGUAGGUCUUCUUUUCAGUGUGAAUUCUGCUUUGCUUAAUAAAGAUUGAUUUUUCUUUAAAAACUUUAUCACAUUCUGCCCAUUGGUAGGACAUCUCUCCAGCAUGGGUUCUUCUGUGGUAAAUAAGACUUUUUUUUUUACUAAAAGCUUUGCCACAUUGUUUAUGUUUGUAGGGCUUCUCUCCGGUAUAAAUUCUUUGGAGGUGAACAAGGCCUGAUUUUUGAUAUAAUUUCUGAUGUUUACUCUCACAUAUAGUUUUCCAUAUUUUCUUUUCUUGUAAAUAGUCAAGAUAAAAAAUUCUAUAGUUCCCACUUAUCACUUUAUGAAAUAUAUGUUUUAUGCCCUUUUCUGGUGAAUAUUCUUCGUUGUGAUGAGGAGUCAUGGCUGAAGUAAACAAAAAAUUUUAAAAAAAUUACAUACUAGAUUGGGAUAAAUAUAUUUGCAUACACAACAUGAAGUUAAGGUAAAAUAAGUACAUCAGGAGUGUAGCAGAUUAGUAAAUCCAAAGUUAUCAUUAAUCCAGAAAUAUAUCAGUUCAAUAAAAAUGUAUAGACAAAAUUACCUUGGGAAUAUUACCCAAAUUUUUGAAGAGACCACAGUAUCC